CGAUCAUCGAAAUGCCGGGCGACAAGUUGUCGGAGGAAAACAAAUACCUGUUCUGCAAGGAACCCUCGCGGAAGUCGGCACAGAAGCUGCCUGCGGCCGCGAGGACGGCCGCUCCCCGUUGUGAGGAAUGUGAGCACUUGAAUCCAUGCUGCGGGCCUGCAGAUUGUGUUUCACACGCACACAGCAAGCUGAGCUUCACACCCGACAGUCACCGAUGCAUAUUGAAGCAAUCAAAGAAGCGUGUUUGUCCAGCCGAGAAAUAGAAACAGCUUGAAAAAGAAAGAGGGAAAUUUGCGGAUUUAAGAUCCUUCCUGAAAUGUGCUGAACGCGCCUCUCCAACAGUAGUCUGACCAGAGCUACACAGAGCUGCAACCUUUCCUCGUGGCUAUUAAACUCAAUUCCACCAUUAACAAAAGCCAAAACACAAUAUGCUAAGUACUAAGCACCUGAUCAAAUUGUGCGGCAACUUUUUAAGAAUUAGCGGAGGUGAGCCAGUGUUAAUCCACACUGACAGAGCCAUUAGCUCUGUAAUUAUCCUUGUAGCUUGAUCUUCCAAAGGGUAUGACGUUACACCUUUCCAGAUUGAACCCCAUCUGCCAUUUCUCAGCCCAGCUUCAUCUGAAUUGCAUCCUGUCAACGCCAGGUUGUGAUCUACGACGAUCCUCCACAAGACUACCCGCGCCCCCUCCCCAAAUCCUCAAACCUUUGUGCCACCUGAAAACUGACUAACCGCGAUCCAUCUCCUUAGCCAAGUCACAGUCCAAGAGUCACAAAGAGCAGAGCUCCAAGUUCAGAUCCCUGCGGAACGCGACUGGUCACCGACAGAAUGAGGUGUUAAAAAAGAUUAAUUUGUCCCGCUGACCAUGCAGGAAUUUAGACGCUAAACUACGCCGCGGGUUCCCUUGUCUUGGAUACAGGGUGUGGCAAUGUAAUUAUACUCUUGUCUCUGGAAAUGCUGAACUCAGGCUAAAGGAAUGAGCCAAUCGCACACGUUCUUCUCGAGUGGCUGGCCCUUACUUCUCCCUUUAGGUAAUUACAUGUUCUUUGUCAAGUACUAAUGAGAUGUUAAAGGAUAAAUUUGUCCUGAUGACAUGCGAGAAUUGAGAUACUAAUCGCACACAUUGCUCUUGGCUGGAUCACAUCUGCUUCCGCUUUAAGUGCUUAAGUAUCCUUUGUCCCGUACUAUCACUG